CCUACGGGCGGCUGCAGUGGGGAAUAUUGGACAAUGGGCGAAAGCCUGAUCCAGCCAUGCCGCGUGUGUGAAGAAGGCCUUCGGGUUGUAAAGCACUUUCAGUGGGGAAGAAAGCCUUGGGGCUAAUACCCUCGAGGAAGGACAUCACCCACAGAAGAAGCACCGGCUAACUCCGUGCCAGCAGCCGCGGUAAUACGGAGGGUGCGAGCGUUAAUCGGAAUUACUGGGCGUAAAGCGCGCGUAGGCGGUCUGAUAAGCCGGUUGUGAAAGCCCCGGGCUCAACCUGGGAACGGCAUCCGGAACUGUCAGGCUAGAGUGCAGGAGAGGAAGGUAGAAUUCCCGGUGUAGCGGUGAAAUGCGUAGAGAUCGGGAGGAAUACCAGUGGCGAAGGCGGCCUUCUGCACUGACACUGACGCUGAGGUGCGAAAGCGUGGGUAGCAAACAGGAUUAGAUACCCGGGUAGUC
rnacentral:rRNA from 1 species